CAAAUGUAUGUUGACGUAUUCUGAAAGGGAUACUUCUUCGGACAAUAUACAAGGUGCUGCAUGGUUGUCGUCAGCUCGUGCCGUGAGGUGUCGGGUUAAGUCCCAUAACGAGCGCAACCCCAUCAUUAGUUGCCAUCAGGUUAAGCUGGGGACUCUAAAGGAACUGCCUACGCAAGUAGUGAGGAAGGCGGGGAUGACGUCAAAUCAGCACGGCCCUUACGUCCAGGGCUACACACGUGCUACAAUGGCCGAUACAGAGGGCAGCUACCUGGUGACAGGAUGCAAAUCUCCAAAGUCGGUCUCAGUUCGGAUCGGAGUCUGCAACCCGACUCCGUGAAGUUGGAUUCGCUAGUAAUCGCGCAUCAGCCAUGGCGCGGUGAAUACGUUCCCGGGCCUU
rnacentral:rRNA from 1 species